CGUUUCGAGUGUACAUAACAAUGGCAUAAGUUCAGAUCCAUGCUUGACUUUACAAAGUGAAUACAUGCAACGAGAAAAGCUUAGGGGCUCAAGGUCAUCCAUUUCUACUACAGAUUCAGUAAAAAAAAAAGGAAAAAAGGUACUCCGUACUUUGUUUUGCGAACCCAUAUAGAUUCAUGUCAUCCAAACUGACAAACUGAAAUACAAGGCCAGAUAAAUGGAGGGCAGAAGGACCACUACAGUUGGGGGAGAUUACUAGCCAUGCUUUCCUUGAAGAAGUACUUGUUCUCGUCAGGCAUGUGGCUCCUGUAGCAAUGCUCUUGCCACUACGUGCAGAACUCGCAGUUCUUGCCCAUCUUGAGAUCAGAUUGGCUGUCAGGGAAAGAUCACGAAGAAUGGCGAUAGCAAGAUAGUAAGAACCUAGAAGCUUUCCUUCAGGCGCAGAGUUGGCGAUAGCAACACUAGUAACAAGUGUAGAUAGGCUAAGCAACAAGUGUCGAAAAGGUUGUUUCCUGCAUACUGUAUCGUAUGCCGCUGCUGCCGGCGGAGCGGAGGCGGGCGACCAUCCUCCCCGGCGAGAUCCAGGCCACCACCGGGGAAGCCCGCAGCUACCUCCUCCGUAUCCUCCCCGCCCCACCCGAUCCGACCUCCAAAGCGUGCGCUGCCGCUGCACUUGGACGAGAGCCGUUCCACCCUCCGAGAGCCGACUCGGCCGCUUCCCGCCGCCAUGAGCAUCUCCGCUGCUUCCUCACGACAUUCCUCUCGCUCACCAAAGGCCUUGCGACGCGCUGCUGUUCCAUUCCCCUGUCUGGCUACGGUUUUCGGUGAUCGCUCCGGCUGUGUGCGCUCCCCGUCUUCGUGAAGGUCACAAGUUCCUGAGCAGUUCCUCCUGAGCCUGCCGCUGUCAUCGAUGCCAACAAGCAUGUAAAAAUUCGAGUGCCAUUGAUCUCAAUUUUUGUAA